UUCGCAUGGGGCCCCGGUCGCGCUCACAGUGCUCUUUGGGGGAUUCCCCAAGGAUCUUGAGGAAAACAUAGAAGAGGACACAAAAUAGAAUAACUUAUUAUUUUCUCGUUUUUUGAGUGUUCCUUCAAUAACUGCUGCUGCGUGUGCAUGCGCAUACGCACAAUCACAAUUUAAAAAAAAAAAAAUUGCCUCAAACAAAAUGCUAAUCGAAACAGCUGCCUCAAAUGCCUCAUGUACAAAAAGGAAUCUUCAAGAAUGAGGCAGCUGUGGAUGAAUGGGUAAGAUUGCAGCCUGUGACCGAAGGACCCCAGGUAAGAGGUUCCCAAUUACACCUGACACCCGAGCAAGGCACAAACAGUCAAGGGUCACAGGUGAGCUGGAGCCAAUCCUAGUUGACUCUGCUCAGGGGCACGGCGUCAUCAGCUCCUCGUUUUCCACUCUAUAGUAGUCACGAUUUGAAUAAUAAUAUUGCAAUAUAUGCAAUAUUUGUCAUAUUGCCAAGUGUCCAGGAAAUACAUCCAAGCAAUUAUGUUGAU